AAACCAACAGGGAUUGCCUUAGUAGCGGCGAGUGAAGCGGCAAAAGCUCAAAUUUGAAAUCUGGCACCUUCGGUGUCCGAGUUGUAAUUUGAAGAUUGUAACCUUGGGGUUGGCUCUUGUCUAUGUUUCUUGGAACAGGACGUCACAGAGGGUGAGAAUCCCGUGCGAUGAGAUGCCCAAUCCUAUGUAAGGUGCUUUCGAAGAGUCGAGUUGUUUGGGAAUGCAGCUCUAAGUGGGUGGUAAAUUCCAUCUAAAGCUAAAUAUUGGCGAGAGACCGAUAGCGAACAAGUACAGUGAUGGAAAGAUGAAAAGAACUUUGAAAAGAGAGUGAAAAAGUACGUGAAAUUGUUGAAAGGGAAGGGUUUGAGAUCAGACUCGAUAUUUUGUGAGCCUUGCCUUCGUGGCGGGGUGACCCGCAGCUUAUCGGGCCAGCAUCGGUUUGGGCGGUAGGAUAAUGGCGUAGGAAUGUGACUUUGCUUCGGUGAAGUGUUAUAGCCUGCGUUGAUGCUGCCUGCCUAGACCGAGGACUGCGAUUUUAUCAAGGAUGCUGGCAUAAUGAUCCCAAAUCGCC
rnacentral:rRNA from 1 species